CAAGGAAUGGGUUGUCAGAGAACAUGCUCAACGCAACACUGGUGGUAGCGGCGCUGGUCAUAACAGCAAUCUACCAGUCAUCUUUAAGUCCACCAAGAGGUCUUUGGCAAGGUGAUAACACUAGUAUCCCCACCACCACCUCAAACCUUACUACUACUACUAAAUUUAAACUCUUUAACGACAAUUACAGUGAGUAUCGUUUUAAAUUUCUGUUGGGUGAAGAAACAAGGAAAACUGGUACUGCAGUCAUGAAUCCCAACUUGUUUUUAGGGUUUUGGUUUUUCAAUUUUAUAGCAUUUGGGCUUCCAGUUCUUCUAACCGUUUUGCUUUUAUCCAAUGUACCUAGUAUUCUUCUCAUCCCGCUUUAUUAUCUAUCCGUCUCCUACUUUAACUGCAUGACAAUAGUAUCUCCUUCCACGUUUUGGGCAAACCUCAACUUUGUUGUCAUGUGGACAGCCAUUCUUCUCCCGUUGCUCUUAGUUGUUAGAAGCGUAUGGUUAUCGAAGCAGCCAAAGUACAGGGAAAUCAGACAAUUACGCAGACUUUUCCGCAAGUAGAAUAAUGUUGGAAUCAUUCAACGGUUGCGAAUGUCAAUGUAGUUUAUAUGUUCUAUUAUGUUAUGUACUUUUUUCCAUUUUCUCUGGAUUAAUAUCUUUUCUCUUCGGUAAAAAAAUUAUGAAAUUGCUUUGGAUAAAUCUAAUAAAUAAGAUUAGUUUUCCCAACAGAUCAUAUCUUUGUCCGUUGCAACCAAAGAAAAAAAAACAAAGAAAAACCAACCAUCCUAUUUUCUAAUUUAAAAAAUUAUUUUCCUUUUUGUGAAAAGAGAUGUUUUCGAAGUAUUGUUGAUUCAAAAGUAACAAAUUUUUCAACAAGUCGAUAUUUUUCUCUAAAUAUUUUCUAAAAAAAUGACAAAUUCAUAAACAACAGCUAUAUUCAUUGUAUUCAAAUGAAUCUUAAUAAAACCCUGUUCAUCAUUGAUGUCUAAAAGGAUUUUUUAUCCCAUUUCAAGCUAAAAGCAACUAUUUUUUUAAAAGCCAAAUUAGCUUUUCAAAACCAUCUUUUUUAAGUCAAAUCAAAAACUUCAAAUUUCGUUUUUACUUUUCUAAAGCUAGUUUUGAGUGUCUAAAUACAAUUUUAUCUCUCAUUUAUAUUAACUAUAUAAGCUAAAUAUAAUUUAAAUUAAAUUUUACAAAUAAUUUAUAUUAAUUACUUAAAAAUAACUCAAAUUAAUAUUUCGUAGAUUAUAAUAUUAACAAUGAGUAAUAAUAAAUAAAUUUAUUAUAUUUAUAAUAUAAUCUAAGUUGAAUAUUGUUGAUACCAAAAUAAUAAUAAUAAUAAUUUACAUUUGUGGUUGAUGAUAACCUUUCUAAAUUUCGUUUAAUAUAUGAUUUAUGCAAAUAAGAUUGGCAACUUAAGUUUCGACACGUCCCGCAAAAGUAUAAUAGACCGGCAAAUUGCAUUGUCAAAGUUGUUCCUAAUGAUUUAAAUAGGCCACAUGAUCAUGCUUGAUUUUUGUUUGAAAAAGAUGCUCAUCGAGCAAUGGUUAAUGUAGGCUCCCGUCAAUAGCUAGUUCCUUAAACUUGUGUAUUUUCUACAAAAAAGAUAUAUUUUACAUUUGUGUCAAUUCCAAUGGCUAUGCUUGGCUCGUAACGUAUUUUGAGCCUUGUCUUUUAUGGUUCUACAAAUGGGUGUUAAAUCCAUCAAAAACAAUAUUCAUAAGCCUGAACAAUAAAUAAAUAACAGCACAAAUAGUAGAGUCAAUCCCAUAGAAAAUAACUAUCGAGAUUGGUUAAGAUUGUUUUUUCAUCUUAUUAGACCCAUCACUUUGCAUCAUUCUUUUACUUAAGGUCGAGCAAUUAAGACAUACUUCAUAACUAAUUUUUUCCUAAUUUAUUCAUAACUAACUAAUUUUCAAGUAAGUGAUAGUUAGUGGUUCAUGUCAUUUUGCAACUCUCCUAAUUUAUUCAUCACUUGCAUUAUUUAAAAGAGUGCUAUAUAAUCAUUUUGCAACUCUCCUAAUGUAUAUAUAUACGGUGAUAAGUUGCGUAUAUCCCUUUGAUAAUUUAUUAAUGGCUGUUUCUACGCAGGCAAUGGAACUGUCGUUAGAUUCCUUUUGGUCGUUAGAUGUAAAAGCUAACAACUCGGAAGGUUUGACAGCUGGAGAAACCAUUGCAAAAGGUUAAAAGACAAGGCUUGAACGUGAGUGGCGAAGAGGAUGAUACCACUGCCAAGAUUAAUCGCAUCAAGAAAAAAACUAGUUGGAUUGAAAGAGUAUGUAGUAUGUACAACGAGGAUUCGUGCAAGGAAUGAAUUAUCGGAGAACAUGAUCAAUGCAACCCCGGUGGUUACGACGCUGGUUAUAACAGCAAUCUACCAAUCAUGUUUAAGUCCACCGGCAGGUGCUCGGCAAGAUGAAGGUGAUCACAGUAUCUCCAUCUCAAACACUACUCUUCCCCUCGCUGUCAACAAACACGAUGAAUCCUUUUUGGGUCUAGGAUCAAGACAAAUUGGUACAACAAUAAUGAAUCCUCUAUGGUAUUUAUUGUUUUGGUUUAUUAAUAUUUUAGCAUUUGAGCUUCCUGUUCUUAUAACAGUUUUGGUGCUCACUAAUGUUCCUUUUGUACUUCUCCCGCUUUCUUAUCUAAGCGUGUCUUAGUAUUACUCGAUGGCAACAAUAUCACCCAUGAUGAUGUGGGCAAUAGUCAACACCAUUCUCACGAUAAUAGUUUCUUGGCUCCCGACUUUCGUUUAUUUUAAAGUCAUACAAUCAUAUAUGUCCCAAAAUUCCAAGUAGUUCAAACACUUACGUAGAGUUUUUCGUAGUGACAGCAAUGUCGGAGUCAUUCAACGCUUGAAAAGGACAAUCUAGUUUAUAUUGUACUAUACUUUAUGUACUUAUAUAUAUACACAUAUGUAUAAAAAAAUAUGAAAUAUGCAUUUAUAUAUAUACACAUGUAUAUAAAAAAAUUAAGAAAUAAAAAAAUGUAAAGUAUGUAUAUAAAAAAAUUGAAAUAUGCAUUUAUAUAUAUACACAUAUGUAUAGAAAAAUAUGAAAUAUAUAAAAAUAUAUGAAUGUGUGCGAGUAAUAUACAUAAAAGUAUAAACGUAUAUAUACUUAUCAUAAAAUAGGUAUGCGUAUAUAAACAUAUUUUGAAACUAUAAGAUAUGUAAAACACAUUUAAUGUCAAACGUACACACAUAUGUGUAAUGAGAUAUAUGUAUAUGUAUUUACAAAAUAAAAAAAAUAUAUAAGUAUAAUAUAUAUAAGUAAAUUAUGAAAAUAUAUGUAUGUAUAUAUUAAAAUAUGUAUAUAUAAGUAUAAUAUGUAUAUAAAAAAAUGACAUAUGCAAAAAAACAAAUAUAUAUUUAUAAUAAUUUAAAAUAAUAAUAAAAAUGUAUGUAUAUACGUAUUAUAAGAAUGUAUGCAUGUAUUUAGGAUUAUAAAAUAUGAAAAUAUAUGCGCAUAUGUAUAUGUAUUAUAAAAUGUACAUAUAUAUUUUAAAAUUAUAAAACACAAAACAAACAAAAACAAAUGUAUGUACGUAUAUGAAAUAUAAAAUGUAUAUGCAUAUAUUAUAAGAAGUAUGCACAAAUACAUGGUUAUAAUAAUAAUAAUAAUAAUAAUAAUAAUAAUGAUGCAAUAUAACAGUAUUAAUAAUAUAUUAAAAUACUUAAAAAACCCAAAAAGACAGAUUAAGGAUUAAAUUGAAAAUAAACGGAGUUUGGGGGCCGAAUUAAAAAAUGGAAAACACAAAAAGGGACCAAAUCAUAAAGCGCGAAACAGGAAGAAGACCCAAAGGGAAAUAUCCCCAAGCUAAUCCAACGGCGUCGUUCUAGUGAGACCUAUGCGCAUGGUCUAUGGACCAAAUUGAAACAAGAGAGAAAUUUUGUGGCCAAAAUUGAAAAUAUGUGAAAAAAACUUCAUUGAAGAUGGCACAAAAGAAAGGGGACCGAUUGCGAAAAUAUCUCCACCAGCGAAAACACGCGGGUCACCUAGGCCUGUCGGGUCACACACGCGGGUAUAGGCCUAUACGGCGCCGUUUUGGGGCCACUGAAACAGGCCUAAACGACGCCGUUUCAUGCCCUUAUAUAAAAAUCAAAAAUUUUCUAAAGGAUUCAUUUUUUUCCCUUCUUUUACAGAAAACAGAUGAACCCUCUGCUAGGAUUCUCAUUUCCCUUUGCCGCCGCCGCCAAGAGGACCGUCCCACAGCUUCCGUUGCCGCCCCAGUCUCUGAUUGCGACGAAGAGGGGAAAGAUUCAACAAUACUAGGUAAAUUUUUCACCUCUUAAUCUUUUCUUUUUCCUUUUUUACACACGAUGAAUAAACAAAAAGAUUCAAAAAUAGAAACAAACAAUCGUUGCAAAAAAUCACCUCCAGUAUACUGUUUUUUUAUUUUCUUCUAUUUUUUCUGUAUCAAUCCGUUUUUCUCUUUUCAAUCCCCCCAUUUACGAAAAAAAAACCCCUUUUAUCACUUUUUUAUCUUUCUGUUAUGCUAACGUGCUCGCGGUUUGUGGUUUGUUGCUGGAAGAUCGUGCAUGGUGGGCGACGUGCUGCGAUGUUGGGACGUGGGUGAGGUUGCUGCGGCUGCUGGUUUUGCUGCUAGCUGCUAGGGUUUCUAAAACUUUAGGCUAAUUGGGCCUAGUAAUUGGAUUAGGAUUGGCCCAAAUUUUAUUGGAUUUGUAAUUGUAUUUAGUUUUAGUAUUUGAUUUGGGCCCUGGGCAAUAAUUGGGUAUUACACCCUUGACGGAUUAGUUUAGUGUAAGCUUGGUUUAAAUCAGUUGAGGUUUCAAAUAAGGAUAGUCAGUUUGCAACUCUCCUAAUUUCUUCAUCAUUUAAAGAAAGAAACAAAAGCAUGGAUCCAAGCUUGCGAGAAGUAGCUGGAACAGGAGAUACUGAUGCCUUGUACGCUCUAAUUCGAAAGGAUCCGUACAUGUUGGAGCAUAUUGAUCAGAUUCCUUUCAUCGAUACUCCACUUCACAUAGCAGCAAAUGAAGGCCAAAUUAAGUUUGCAAUGGAGAUGAUCAACUUGAAGCCUUCGUUUGGUCGGAAGCUAAACCAAGACGGGUUUAGCCCCAUGCACUUGGCCCUCAAAAUGGGGCAUACCAAGCUAGUGCUUCGACUGUUGAAGACCGAUAAAGACCUGGUUCGCGUCAAAGGAAGGGAAGGGAUGACUCCUUUCCAUUGGGCAGCUGCAGUGGGGAACCCUAAUCUUUUAUUCCACUUCCUUGAAACUUGCCCUGAAUGCGUUGAGGAUGUCACGGUUCGUAACGAGACUGCAUUACAUCUUGCUCUGAAAAACGACCACACAGACGCUUUUAAUCUCUUACAUGGAUGGCUUCGAAAGAACCGUCGAGGAGGAGGCAAUGGUUUGGAAAGAAAGGUUGUGAAUUGGAGAGAUGAUGAUGACAACACUGUGUUGCACAUUGCAGCUACAAAGCAACAACAUCAGGUAUAUAUGCAAUAUAAUGAUAAGUUGCGUUCCUUUGAUCAUUUUAUUAAUUAUGACUAUUUAUAAUAUUCUACGCAGGCAGUACAACUGUUGUUGGAGUCCUUUUAUGGGUUAGAUGCAAACGCUAAGAACUCGGAAGGUUUGACAGCUCGAGAAAUCAUAGAAAGGGUUGAAAGACAAGGGCUGAACAUGAGUGGCGCCGAAGACGAUGAUACCACCACCGCCAAGAUUGAGCGCAUUAAGAAAAGAACUAGUAGGUCUGAAAGAGCAUUAGUGAAGUUGAUUCGUGCAAGGAAUGGGUUGUCGGAGAACAUGCUCAACGCAACACUGGUGGUAGCGGCGCUGGUCAUAACAGCAAUCUACCAGUCCUCUUUAAGCCCACCAAGAGGUCUUUGGCAAGGUGAUAACACUAUCCCCACCACCACCACAAACCUUACUACCACUACUAAAUUUAAACUCUUUAACGACAACUACAGUGAGUAUCGUUUUAAAUUUCUGUUGGGUGAAGAAACAAGGAAAACUGGUACAGCAAUCAUGAAUCCCAACUUGUUUUUAGGGUUUUGGUUUUUCAAUUUUAUAGCAUUUGGGCUUCCAGUUCUUCUAACCGUUUUGCUUUUAUCCAAUGUACCUAGUAUUCUUCUCAUCCCGCUUUAUUAUCUAUCCGUCUCCUACUUUAACUGCAUGACAAUAAUAUCUCCUUCCACGUUUUGGGCAAGCAUCAACUUUGUUGUCAUGUGGACAGCCAUUCUUCUCCCGUUGCUCUUAGUUGUUAGAAG
rnacentral:lncRNA from 1 species